rnacentral:rRNA from 1 species
CUCCAGUUGGAUGCAUGUCCUUCUGGGAAAGAUUCAUCGGUAUGGGAUGGGGUCGCGUCCUAUCAGCUUGAUGGCGGGGUAACGGCCCACCAUGGCUUCGACGGGUAGCCGGCCUGAGAGGGCGACCGGCCACAUUGGGACUGAGAUACGGCCCAGACUCCUACGGGAGGCAGCAGUGGGGGAUAUUGCACAAUGGGCGCAAGCCUGAUGCAGCGACGCCGCGUGCGGGAUGACGGCCUUCGGGUUGUAAACCGCUUUUGACUGGGAGCAAGCCCUUCGGGGUGAGUGUACCUUUCGAAUAAGCACCGGCUAACUACGUGCCAGCAGCCGCGGUAAUACGUAGGGUGCAAGCGUUAUCCGGAAUUAUUGGGCGUAAAGGGCUCGUAGGCGGUUCGUCGCGUCCGGUGUGAAAGUCCAUCGCUUAACGGUGGAUCCGCGCCGGGUACGGGCGGGCUUGANUGCGGUAGGGGAGACUGGAA